rnacentral:rRNA from 1 species
UACGGAGGGAGCUAGCGUUGUUCGGAAUUACUGGGCGUAAAGCGCACGUAGGCGGCUUUUUAAGUCAGGGGUGAAAUCCCGGGGCUCAACCCCGGAACUGCCCUUGAAACUGGAGAGCUAGAAUCUUGGAGAGGCGAGUGGAAUUCCGAGUGUAGAGGUGAAAUUCGUAGAUAUUCGGAAGAACACCAGUGGCGAAGGCGACUCGCUGGACAAGUAUUGACGCUGAGGUGCGAAAGCGUGGGAGCAAACAGG